rnacentral:rRNA from 1 species
GAUGAACGCUAGCUACAGGCUUAACACAUGCAAGUCGAGGGGAAACGCCAUCGAAAGCUUGCUUUUGAUGGGCGUCGACCGGCGCACGGGUGAGUAACGCGUAUCCAACCUGCCCACCACUUGGGGAUAACCUUGCGAAAGUAAGACUAAUACCCAAUGACGUCUCUAGAAGACAUCUGAAAGAGAUUAAAGAUUUAUCGGUGAUGGAUGGGGAUGCGUCUGAUUAGCUUGUUGGCGGGGUAACGGCCCACCAAGGCGACGAUCAGUAGGGGUUCUGAGAGGAAGGUCCCCCACAUUGGAACUGAGACACGGUCCAAACUCAUACGGGAGGCAGCAGUGAGGAAUAUUGGUCAAUGGACGAGAGUCUGAACCAGCCAAGUAGCGUGCAGGAUGACGGCCCUAUGGGUUGUAAACUGCUUGUAUAAGGGAAUAAAGUGAGUCUCGUGAGACUUUUUGCAUGUACCUUAUGAAUAAGGACCGGCUAAUUCCGUG